GAAUGAUUUAUUCCAAAAGCAGAGAGGGGACAUGAAAAUUGACUUUGUUUACAUUGCUUUCAGAAUCUCCAGGCUGUCAAGGUCCGCGGACUCAUGCAACUUAGUGGCCAAUUUCCACUCACUGGCUCACCUGGGGUCACAAGUCAAGGGGGCAUGGCACCCACCUGCUUCAGAAAGACCUACCAGUAAGGUACCAGAUUUUCCAUGAGCGCAACUGCCAUGGAAAUUGAGGGCAGAUGGCAGUGGAUUCUAUGGGAAGCUUCAUGGAGGGUGGUUUGCCAUUUUGGAAAAUGGCGUCGGCAACAGCACCACCGUUUGGAGCAUCUGAGUUGCUGUCAUGAGACACAUGAGUCGCUGGAGAGUUACAGCUGCUGCAUUCCUGAUCAACCUUUUCAUGUACCAGGAAACAUACAUAUGACCAAAUGACCAAAACAAAACCAAAACCCAGUAAAGCCCCAAAUUCCCCAAACCAAAAGACCCCUGGAGUUAUAGAAAUUCAUCCCUUAGCCCUAUGAAUAUUUUAAUAUAGACAUUUUCCCAAAGUAUAUUUUUGUGUAUUGUAAUACACAAGGAGUGUUGUUUGUUUCUUCUUCUUCUUUUUUUAAUGUUUAUCUUUGAGAGAGAGACAGAGAGAGAGAGCAUGA